rnacentral:rRNA from 1 species
UACGUAGGGGGCAAGCGUUGUCCGGAUUUAUUGGGCGUAAAGAGCGUGUAGGCGGCCACACAGGUCUGCUGUGAAAACUCGAGGCUCAACCUCGAGCUGUCGGUGGAAACCGUGUGGCUAGAGUCCGGAAGAGGAGAGUAGAAUUCCCGGUGUAGCGGUGAAAUGCGCAGAUAUCGGGAAGAACACCCGUGGCGAAGGCGGCUCUCUGGGACGGUACUGACGCUGAGACGCGAAAGCGUGGGGAGCGAACAGG